AUGCUACUCCCUCCAUCCCAAAAUUCUUGUCUUAGAUUUGUCUAGAUACGGAUGUAUCUAGCACUAAAAUGUAACUCGAUACAUCCGUAUUUAGACAAAUCUAAUACAAGAAUUUUGGGACGGAGGGUAUCGG
rfam:Triticum aestivum genome assembly, contig: Triticum_aestivum_CS42_TGACv1_scaffold_145898_2BS